rnacentral:rRNA from 1 species
CAGUAGCCGCGGUAAUACGGAGGGUGCAAGCGUUAAUCGGAAUUACUGGGCGUAAAGCGCACGCAGGCGGUUUGUUAAGUCUGCUGUGAAAUCCCCGGGCUCAACCUGGGAAUGGCAGUGGAUACUGGCAAGCUAGAGUGUGUCAGAGGAUGGUGGAAUUCCCGGUGUAGCGGUGAAAUGCGUAGAGAUCGGGAGGAACAUCAGUGGCGAAGGCGGCCAUCUGGGACAACACUGACGCUGAGGCACGAAAGCGUGGGGAGCAAACAGGAUUAGAUACCCCAGUAGUCCCUGUCUCUUAUAC